UACGGGGGGGCAAGCGUUGUUCGGAAUUAUUGGGCGUAAAGGGCGCGUAGGCGGUGCGGCAAGUCUCCUGUGAAAUCUCCGGGCUCAACUCGGAGUCUGCAGUAGAAACUGCCGUGCUUGAGUGUGGGAGAGGUGAGUGGAAUUCCCGGUGUAGCGGUGAAAUGCGUAGAUAUCGGGAAGGAACACCUGUGGCGAAAGCGGCUCACUGGACCACAACGUGACGCUGAGGCGCGAAAGCUAAGGGGAGCAAACAGGGAUUAAGAU
rnacentral:rRNA from 1 species